CUCUCAGAUCUGGCGCCUCUCUCUUUCUCUCAGAUCUGGAUAUGCAAAAGGAGGUCGAACUGGAUCUGGUCUAGGUUCUCUGCUUCUUGAGAGGCUGUCUGUUGAUUACGGAAAGAAAUCAAAACUCGGUUUCACUGUUUAUCCUUUGCCUCAGGGUUUUUAAAAUUGAUUUACUGUACAGAGGAGAAGAAGACGGAUAAUGAGAAGAUGAAUGCCUUACAAAAACUGAUUCCAGAUUCAUAUAAGGUUAUGUGUAUAGUCAGAAUCUUUUGAUCAUUUCAUAUGUU
rnacentral:lncRNA from 1 species